GAGAAGGAGAAGAGGAGAAAAACUUACAGUCUGCUAUCCUUAACUUUCCUCCGUAUUCUUUUCCAACCUUUCACACAAUUGGGCCCAGGGUGAUACGAGCUGUGCCGAUUCUGUUUAGAAAGGAAGAGGCAGGGGAACAAAAACAAAUGUCUGGCUUCAGCGAGGCUGUGAGUGGGAGCCUCACUGGUACUGUUGAUAAUUUCAGCUUUCUUUUGAGGUAUUCCAAUCCCGGCAAAGCUGCAGGCUUUUUAUUUUCAUGGCAACCGACAACAGGGUAUUCACUUAGAAUUGAUAAAUGAGGAAGAUUAACAACGUGAGACGAGCAGAGGAGAGAAUGGACUCUGCGGAGCGAGUGAGGCUGCCGUUGUCAGCCUCCUGGUGGCGGAGGAUCAGCGGCGCGCUGUGUGUUCCUCUUCCUGCUCGUUAACAUGCACAACCUGCGAGGCGGGUCUCCAGAGGACGACCCCGAGCCGGCUUCUAUCAUUAAUCAACUUCAAGCAAACACAGCGACCAGACACCACCAUACAUGCUUUAAACUCCAGAAUUAAUGCAUAUUUUCAAGCAAGUGUCAAUAAGGGAAGAAAAGCGCUGGCAGGAAAGGCGUGCGGGGAGAGCAGCUCCGGCGCACUCGGCACAACACCGUGAUAAGAAACAGAGCCCUUAUGAGAAUAAUAACGCUGUCACUUGUAAACAAGGCAAAAACAUGAGCGCCCGCCCCUCCAGCUCACAGCCUGGGCAAAAGAGCCACUAAAGAGAUGAGAUCUGCCAAAUUUCUCAUUACAGAAACAGAGCAGGAAGAAAGCACAGGGGGAGAGGAGGCCUGGCUGUGGCAGAGAGAGAGGGAAAAAAAAACAUUAUGAGCAGCUGCAGGGGACUUGCCGCUCUAACCUGCGGUGCCAGGCUGCUGUAGCGGAGGUAGAGCGAUGUCAGGAUGAGGCGCCGGGCUCAUUUACUACAACAACAAGGGACAACUGGCACAUUCUUCAUCACCACGGCCCACAUUUGAUUUAUUCACACCAGGACGUCUUGUGUGAUUUGCAGCUAUUGUGAUGGAAGCACUCAUAUGCUAAUGAGCUGACAUAUUUUGGUGUAAAUUAUAAAAAAGGGGGGAAAAGUAAAGUCAGCUUUUCUAUCAUUUUCACAUCAAAGUAACUCCACAAGUGCUGUUGCCUCAGGUCUGACUCCGUGGCUGCGGGGCAGACAUGAAAUUGUUAUUAUUAUGCUAUUGAACUGCAUGCUGAUUCCACACUUUGCUUAUAAUUAGCCUUCUCUGGAUGCCUCACUCUCAUCUGGCUGUUUAAGAGAAGUGCUCUGGUUUCUUCACUGUGUUAAAAAAGCUGUGUCCUGUCAACCAGCAGCUCCCUGGCACAUGUGGACAGCACAUGUUACUACACAGCGGUGAUGGACUCGCAUUCGGACAGGGUAAGUCAGACCAGUACAGACAACCUGAAUAAACUGAAUUAACCGCAGCAUUAAAUGCUCCAUCCACAGACGUAAAGAGCCAGGUGUGUUUUGUUAAUAAGAGAAUAAAGUUCUUUAAAAGCAAAAGAACACAGUUUUAACUCGUUUUGUACUUGCACAAAGCUUAUAGACAUAAUUACGAAGAAGGAGUCGUGAGCUUUAUCAGCCUAAAGAUAGAAGCGGAGGGGUAGAGGGAGAGCAGGCUGCCUUUAGGCCAGCACACCCAUCCUGUCUCUGCCUUUCCUGUUCCACAGCCAUGCUCAGAGCUAUGUUCACAGUGAUUAAGGAUGGCACUUUCCUCCAUUUGGCCAGGAGCUUAUUACUGCACCUUUUUUUUGUUUUUAGGCAGAAUUUCCCCCAAGCUCAGACAUUUCAGGAGGCCAUCCCUGAGUCUACCCCUGCUGCACAUCGGUGGUCUGCCCCCACAUCUGGAAACGAUGCAGCGUGUGCUGUAUUAUUUUAGGCUUCAAACAACUUAGCAGACACUCCCAUACAACAAGUGAACGGGGAGCUGUGGUUUCCAGGCCGACCACAACUUUCCUACAUGAGAAUCUUGGAUGAUGUCCUCCAGACUAAUUACGCUUUUUGUGUUGUUUUUCUUUCAGAGGCGUUUCUAGAUGUGUUGCGGCUCAUGUUGCACCGUGUCGGAGCCAGCAGCUGUGUCACUCUGCGUGCUGGCAUUUUGUAAAUAUUUUAACAAAGUGAAAGGGCCGAUGAUGGCGGGGCUCAGACAGACAGCAGGACGCAUAAAGGAGAGUUCAUAAACUCGCUGUUAAAAUAACAGAGGGGCUCCGGUCUUCUCUUCCCGGCCGCUCUGGUGAUGGAAGCUUUGAAAAGACUGCGGUGAAGAUAGAAAGCGCGUGUGCCACUCACAUAGCUGGCAGGGGCGAGCGUCCCGGGCUGCUGUCACUGCCGUUGCUGUUUCCAUGGUCCAUCGCUCCAUUCAUCUCCUCACGGAUGGCGUUGGCCAGGGAAUUGAGGGUGGGACUUCCAAUGGAAGCAGUAGUGUAUAGA